UUGACGUUACGUUGGGCUCAUUUGCUCUCUGGACCCAAGCACUUGGCUUUUGGCUACAGAACUUGAAGUAUGAAGGUCUCCCUAAAGAGCAAGGAAAGCCCAAACUCACCGAUAGUAAAUGAAAGCCUUCUGAGAAUAAAAUCCCGAAGAAAACUGUACUACAACUAAAUUACAUGCUGGAUGAGCUUUGGCACUGAAUCUCACAAAGUUAUGAAAUUACUGCAUGCAGCUUCGUUAGGAAUCAUGAGAAGUGAAGAAAGACCUGGUACUAAUUCACACCACACUGUGCUACACGGCGCUCCUGGCUGCAUCGCACCUGUUGAUGUUUACGUGCCAAGGUACAUUACGCCAACUGCAAUGGCGAGGAAGGUACAGCUGCAAUGAGCCUGCAAACAGGACGGCUGCAUCUCAGGGAGCACUGCUCUCCAGCACCAGGCCAGGAACCCACUUCAACUGUUGGAGCAAAAGUAGAGGGGACGUACACGUGUGGGAGCUUUGCACGUUGCAUGGUGUCUGCAGCCCACUGGUCGCUCCAUGCUGCACAGCGAGACGCAGAAGGUUCUUCUGGAAUUUCCCUUUACCAGCUUGCUUUCAUUCCUUUUAAAUCUGAGCUGCCAUUUAUCUCAGACUUUUCAUUCUGCACGAGUGUCAUCCUUACCACACGGGUGGACUUAACCAAGCAGCUAAUGCUAUUACAGUGCUGGAUCGUCCUGUACUGGGCUGUUAACGCACAUCAGCAUCAGCAAGAAUGGGAGGUUGACAAGCACAUGGGAACUGUCACAUAGGGACCGAUGUCUGCUGGUCCGUAACUGAUACACUCCCAGUGUCCUGUUAGAAUAAAUGGCGGUAGAGGCAAACA
rnacentral:lncRNA from 1 species